rnacentral:rRNA from 1 species
AGAGUUUGAUCCUGGCUCAGGAUGAACGCUGGCGGCGUGCCUAACACAUGCAAGUCGAACGGACUUACAUUGAAGCCUAGCGAUAUGUAAGUUAGUGGCGGACGGGUGAGUAACGCGUGGGUAACCUGCCUUGUAAUGGGGGACAACAGUUGGAAACGACUGCUAAUACCGCAUAAGCGCACAGCUUCGCAUGAAGCAGUGUGAAAAACUCCGGUGGUACAAGAUGGACCCGCGUCUGAUUAGCUGGUUGGUGAGGUAACGGCCCACCAAGGCGACGAUCAGUAGCCGGCCUGAGAGGAUGUCCGGCCACACUGGAACUGAGACACGGUCCAGACACCUACGGGUGGCAGCAGUCGAGAAUCAUUCACAAUGGGGGAAACCCUGAUGGUGCGACGCCGCGUGGGGGAAUGAAGGUCUUCGGAUUGUAAACCCCUGUCAUGUGGGAGCAAAUUAAAAAGAUAGUACCACAAGAGGAAGAGACGGCUAACUCUGUGCCAGCAGCCGCGGUAAUACAGAGGUCUCAAGCGUUGUUCGGAAUCACUGGGCGUAAAGCGUGCGUAGGCUGUUUCGUAAGUCGUGUGUGAAAGGCGCGGGCUCAACCCGCGGACGGCACAUGAUACUGCGAGACUAGAGUAAUGGAGGGGGAACCGGAAUUCUCGGUGUAGCAGUGAAAUGCGUAGAUAUCGAGAGGAACACUCGUGGCGAAGGCGGGUUCCUGGACAUUAACUGACGCUGAGGCACGAAGGCCAGGGGAGCGAAAGGGAUUAGAUACCCCUGUAGUCCUGGCAGUAAACGGUG